CUCUUGCCAACCAUGGUGGGUCUCUCCGGUCUCCCAUCACUUUAUCGGAGACGCCCAGAACUAAUCCUCUUACAGGCUCAUGAUUUAUAGUAUGCCUUAAUCUACAGGCUCCAAGUCAGAUUCAUUGUUAUCUCCUGAUUGUGGGGAGAUGAACAGAUUUGCUUAAACGGGCUCCACUGGGCUGGCAGGAGGUGGUCAGGAGGAAGGCGGCAGACGGCUCGGAAAAUGAAGGCGCUGCUGCUGCUGGUCCUGCCCUGGCUGAGUCCAGCUAACUACAUUGACAAUGUGGGCAACCUGCACUUCCUGUACUCGGAACUCUGCAAAGGGGCCUCCCACUAUGGCCUGACCAAAGACAGGAAAAGACGCUCACAAGAUGGCUGCCCUGAUGGUUGCGCCAGCCUCACGGCAACGACGCUCUCCCCAGAGGUUUCUGCUGCUGCCACCAUCUCUUUAAUGACAGACGAGCCUGGCCUAGACAAUCCUGCCUACACGUCCUCAGUGGAGGAUGGUGAACCGGUAACCAACCCCUCAGACAC
rnacentral:lncRNA from 1 species